CCUCCGGGACCUGCGUCGGCGAGAUGUAAUGCACAUGCGCGUCAAUUGCGCCAGCGGUGAGGAUGAGCUUCUCGCCUGCGAUGACUUCCGUGCUUGAACCGAUUACCAAUGAGGGGUCCACGCCGUCCAUAACGUCCGGGUUUCCUGCUUUACCGAUACCAACGAUGCGUCCACCUUUGAUACCAACAUCUGCCUGUUAUCCAUUAUCAAUACGCUAUCCGGAUGUUGUCGUACGUGGCAGACCUUAUAUAUACCAGACCAGUCGAUGAUCAGCGCGUUGGUGAUGACCGUCUCGAUACACUCGUCCGAAGAGCGAUCGGUAGCUUGGCCCUGUCCUUCACGGAU
rnacentral:sRNA from 1 species